GCCCCAGUAGCUCAGCUGGAUAGAGCGGCGGUUUCCUAAACCGUAGGUCGGAUGUUCGAGUCAUCUCUGGGGCA
rnacentral:tRNA from 1 species